rnacentral:rRNA from 1 species
CCUACGGGGGGCAGCAGUAGGGAAUUUUCGGCAAUGGGGGGAACCCUGACCGAGCAACGCCGCGUGAACGAAGAAGUUAUUCGUAAUGUAAAGUUCUUUUAACAGGGAAGAAAGAGAAAUUUGACGGUACCUGAAGAAUAAGCUCCGGCUAACUACGUGCCAGCAGCCGCGGUAAUACGUAGGGAGCGAGCGUUAUCCGGAAUUAUUGGGCGUAAAGGGUGCGUAGAUGGCAUAGUAAGUCUUUUGUAAAAAUGCUGGGCUCAACCCAGUAGGGCAAAAGAUACUGCAAAGCUAGAGUAUGACAGAGGCAAGUGGAACUACAUGUGUAGCGGUAAAAUGCGUAAAUAUAUGUAAGAACACCAGUGGCGAAGGCGGGUUCCUGGACAUUAACUGACGCUGAGGCACGAAGGCCAGGGGAGCAAACAGGAUUAGAUACCCUUGUAGUC